CCCACGGACUGUGAGAUCAUGACCUGAGCCGAAGCUGGAUGCUGCACUGACUGAGCCCCCAGGCGCCCGUUUCACUGGCACUUCAGAAGACGGGGGCUUCCUCUCCUGCCUCCAGCAUGUUCCCAGAGGAAUUUCCAUAGAGUAGAAGGUGGGGAAGGAAGCUCUACACCCUGCAUGGAGCUCGAACUCAUGAUCCCGAGAGCAGAGCAGACGUCGGACGCUUCCCUGGCUCUGCUUGCCCCGCCCCCCAAGUCUGCGGGGCCCCGCCCUGGAACCUCCCGGAGUCUGAGCACUAACCUCAUUCCCAGCCACCCGGCUCCCAAGAAAACCAUGCACAUGCCCCAGGGCGUGUUUAAUGUGAGUCAGUCUUUAUUUUGCACUUAUGUGGCGCACUGACAAGGUCCACACACAGGACAGCACCACACGCCGUGGGUCAGCAGAACAGCAUUAUGCAGAGUCACACAACUCAGGUUAGCUUUUUCUGUUUUUUCUUUUUUCUUUUUUAAUUUGACACAUUUAUCUCGAGUUUCAUUUUUACAAGAGAAGACACAAGGUAAAGAAAGACGACCACGUUGGAGAAGGAUCAUGGUGAGGGCAAUGUCGCUAUUGUGGCCGUAGUCAAGCCUUCCAAGAAAAGGGUUCGUACCGUUCCUUCUCCUGAGCAAGUCGCUCCCGUCCCACAAGCCAGUUCUCUGUUUUCAUACCGAGAGCACGUUCACGGCCACGGAACUCGUGGCUCCACUCCAUCAAGAAGAGCUGAAUGGAGGAUUAACUCAUAAACAGACUUUCGUUAUUAAGAAAACUUGUCUUCCCAAAGGAAUCAAGGCAGCAGAGAAGGACCGACUCUUGGAAAAUCCCUAACCCGUUCCCGACCGCGAGUGCCUUGUGCAAAAGCUAGGGUGCGACUCUUGUCUUUCAACGGACUCUUGAGGAGGACACACUGCUCCCCCGCCCUUAGCAGGUGGCUCUGGGAGGGACACGGGUGAAAGCCAAAGGCAGCUAGGAAACUUUGGGACAGCAAAGCCAAGGGCACGAUGGAUCAGGCGUGAGGUAGGAGGGAGGAGCCCUGUGCUGUCUGCCUCUUUUGGAGGCGACUCCAGGCCCCAGAACUACCGGUCCUCGCCCUGUCCCCUCGCCACCCACUGCUCAACAGCCCCAGAGAAUGAGGGAGGAAAGCGGACUGGAGGGGGGGGAUGGGCGCCAUGUGACAAGCUACAUCAGCGGGGCAAAGACCAGACUCUGCCGCCUGGGGCUCAGCAUUACUUCUGGCAAGGAUGCGAGAGCAGGUGCUCAGCGGGUUCUGAUCUUCAGACAUUAAGGCGAUGAAGAGGAAGCAUUUAGGUUUUUUCCUAAUGGGGCUUCAGGAUGCUCCUGUCCGAUUUACAUUAAACUAUCUCAAAAUGCA